UACGUAGGUGGCAAGCGUUGUCCGGAUUUACUGGGCGUAAAGAGCGCGCAGGCGGCUGGGCAAGUCCGAUGUGAAAGCUUCCGGCUUAACUGGAAAAUUGCAUCGGAAACUGCUCGGCGUGAAGGUGGGAGAGGGUAGCGGAAUUCCCGGUGUAGUGGUGAAAUGCGUAGAUAUCGGGAGGAACACCAGUGGCGAAGGCGGCUACCUGGCCCACUCUUGACGCUGAGGCGCGAAAGCUAGGGGAGCAAACGGG
rnacentral:rRNA from 1 species